GAAGCGGCUUACGGCCCAUGAAGUUCUUAGCCACCCUUGGGUUCAAGUUGGUGGUGUUGCUCCUGACAAACCUCUUGAUUCCGCUGUUUUAUAGCGCUUGAAACAAUUCUCUACUAUGAACAAGCUGAAGAAAAUAGCCAUUAGGAUGUCGAUAAUAGUGGACAGAUCACUCUUGAGGAACUAAAGAAUGGUUUGGAAAAGGUAGAUGCAAAUCUCAAGGAUUCCGAAAUAAGUGGACUAAUGCAAGCGGUAAGAGCAUCUCCAAAGAAACACCAAAUUUGUUGUGACACUAUCACUAAAUUUGGUGUCAAAAAGUAUUUCUACUCCAACCAUAACACCAAAAAUUACACUAAAAAAAAUAUUCCUUAUUAUUAUAUUAAUUUUUUAAUAAAAUAAAAAAUAAUAUCAUAUUAAUUAACAAAAAUUAUCACAAUUGUUAUAUCAGUGCACCACACUUUUAAAGAAGUGCAUUAUUUUCGGCAUAUUAAAUUUUUUUAAAUUUUACCGGAUGUCUUAAAUAAUUAUAAUAUACACUACUAUAUAAAAAAAAAAUUGACAAAAAAAAUUUGUCGGGUGCCGAAACAAAUAGGAAUAGAUUCGUACAUUACUUUUAAAAAUGUGCAUUGUAAAAUUUUCCAAAAAAUAAAAUUUCAUUUUACAAAUACAAUAAUAUAAAUAUUAAAAAAAAAAAAAAA